CUCGGGUUGCGUGCAAAAGAAAAAAAAAAAGAAAAUUUUUCUCUUCUUCCUCCUUCCAGCCCUCACGAUUUCCCUUCACAGUGCGUCUCCGCUGUCGCCCCCUUGCGCCUCAGCCCAGCGCGUCUCGUCCGUCGUCCACCGCUCGAUCGUGGGUCUCCAGCCACGCAAGGUUCCGGUCGUUUCAGCCGUGCAAAGUUUCGUCCGCUUCCAGCCGCACCGCCACUUCCAGCCGCGCCGAGUUUCUUCGAUUUUUUUCUUCCGUUUUCGUUCUGCGUCUGCUAGUCGCCGACCGUUUCGGUUCUGCCAAGAACGUGGUUUUGGGUGUUGCCCAAUUCAGGAUUUCAAGACAUUUUGUCGGUACAGCAUCAAGGUUUGCUUGGGCGCCUUUUGGACAAUUCGAGCGUUUGACUCAAGUCAAAGAGGGAUUUGGUUGAUAAUUGAGUUGGUUGCUAAUUGUUCGACAUAAUUUCGAGGACAAUUCGAGCGUCUGACUCGAGUCAAAGAGAGAUUUGGUUGAUAAUUGGAGUUGGUUGCUAACUGUUCGAUAUAAUUUCGAGACUUUGUAGGUAAGGACACAGUGUAGAUGACAGAAUUGGACGUCGCUCA